rnacentral:rRNA from 1 species
UACGUUCCCGGGUCUUGUACACACCGCCCGUCACACCAUGGGAGCGGGUUUUACCAGAAGUAGGUAGCUUAACCGUAAGGAGGGCGCUUACCACGGUAGGAUUCGUGACUGGGUG